rnacentral:rRNA from 1 species
AGAGUUUGAUCCUGGCUCAGAAUCAACGCUGGCGGCGCGCUUAACACAUGCAAGUCGAACGAGAAAGGGAGCAAUCCUGAGUAAAGUGGCGUACUGGUGAGUAACACGUGGAUAUCUACCUCUUGGUGGGGAAUAACCUGGGGAAACCUGGGCUAAUACCGCAUAAGUUCGUGAGAAGAAAGGCGCAAGUCGCCGAGAGAGGAGUCCGCGGUCGAUUAGGUAGUUGGCGGGGUAAGAGCCCACCAAGCCAAAGAUCGAUAGCCGGCCUGAGAGGGCACACGGCCACACUGGCACUGAAACACGGGCCAGACUCCUACGGGAGGCAGCAGUGGGGAAUCUUGCACAAUGGGGGAAACCCUGAUGCAGCGACGCCGCGUGAGCGAUGAAGCCCUUCGGGGUGUAAAGCUCUUUCGGCAGGAACGAUAAUGACGGUACCUGCAGAAGAAGCUGCGGCUAACUACGUGCCAGCAGCCGCGGUAAUACGUAGGCAGCAAGCGUUGUUCGGAAUUACUGGGCGUAAAGAGUGUGUAGGUGGUGUCGUAAGUUUGGUGUGAAAUCUCCCGGCUUAACUGGGAGGGUGCGCCGAAGACUGCGAUGCUGGAGUAUGGGAGAGGAAAGCGGAAUUCCUGGUGUAGCGGUGAAAUGCGUAGAUAUCAGGAGGAACACCUGCGGUGUAGACGGCUUUCUGGACC